ACAGGAUACGCACGAGCUGCGUUCAAACUGAGGUGGGAGAGAACAGGAAAAAACUUAUCCAGAAAGGUGCAAAUCGCACACACAACCAACGGCUGAAAAGCGACUAUGUCGAAACGAGCACCAAGUCGGCGGACGCAAAAGGCUUCCAGACGACACCUCCAUGUUCUCGUGGCUUUGCGCCUUGAGGCUUCAACGGUCGGUAUCAUGGAUUCACGUUCAAGCUCCACCAAAUCGAGUCCAUCUUCAUCGAACCGCAACCGAUAUCAAGCUCUCCCCUUAAAUCGUAUUUCUACGCAGUCGUCGAAACGUAAUCGCGCCGAUAAAUGAGACAAGAAGUGAAAGAACAACUUACCGGAUCAGACUCUUGAUGCGGUGAAUCUCCCACGACUUCCAGGGCGAAAAUGGGGAUGCAGUGUGGAGAAAAUUGUGAAGAAUUGAGCGUUAUGCAGAAUGGAGAGCUUGGUGCAAAAGAGGAAAAUCCUGUUGAUGCAGACUGAACAAUGAAGUGGAGAGGAAGCAUGAAAAAGUGCAGAAGAAAAAUGAAGAUUGAGACUUGAAGAAAAAAUGAAGAUCCUCUUGAAUGGUAUGUUACAAGGUUCUCUAAGGUUCAAUUCAGCUGGAUAUUUCUGUCAUCACCUUACAAGCCAUAGCGCAUUUGAAUAAUGCUGGACGGCAUUCCUCAAACAGGUUCCUUUGGUUUGUAUUGGUUUUAAUGGAUAUGGGAGUUAAUGUGUUCGUAAUGACGGUUUAAACUUGCUGCUAGGUUAUUCCGAGGUGUAGUCAGCUGAAAACCUGUUAGUUACCUUGCUAGGUCACUUUUCCAUUGUUCAAUUGAAGCUUGAUUAAAAUCAUGCAUCGCUACCUGUUAAUGGUUAUUAGUUCAAUCUGUUUUGGCUCGUUUCUUUAAUGAUUGUUAGGAGCUUUGGAAAGUUGGCGAUUGCGAAUGGAUUGCGGAUUCUUCUGGUUACCAUCCUUUUGUUUCCAAUCGGUGUGAUAGAUCUCACUGCUCGUAGUUUUGGCAGUGCCAUUUUGGGUUAUGGAUUUGAAGUUUUGGUUGCGGCUUCGGACUUCUCGGGAACGCUUGGAUGGCUUUAGAUUGAAGCUUAAUUUGAAAGGUUUGGUUGCUGGUACGUUCGUGUCGCGUUUACGCAUUUUGGUUGGCUGUUUGUGGCAUUACAGCAUACCGGUGUUGGUGUUCCAACUUCUGCAGGUUGAUGGAAAUUGGCUGCAAGUCUGUUUUGGUUGUUAACUGCUGCAAACGUAUGGUCUGGUGUGCGUCUGAACUGGGCGAGAUUCACCUCACCUCCUUGCUUCCAACAUGGUGCGAAUGGCGCACCUGCAGGUCCGCUCAAAAGUGAUGUUAACCGCGUUGCCGGUAGCUGGAAAUUGGCAAGUGAUUAGGUUAGUUUCAUCAUGGUUAAUGCUUAAAACCAUAUUAUGAACGUCGUAUUGAUUUUCCAGGUCGGGAUUACGUUAGCUUUGGGAUGGCUUGGAAUGGAGUUGUGGGAUUAUUCGUUUUUGGUUCUGCGAAUUGGAACUAAGUUGAAGAGCUUGGAUGGUCAUAAGGUGGAAUUGAUUUUGUCUUUAAGUGAAAAGGUGAAUUAUGUUAGUUAGCAAAAUUUGUUUUUCUGUUAGUGAAAUGAAUUAUGUUACAUUAAGUUUUGGAAGAUAGUUAAUGAGAUGGCUUUGUAAAUUGUUAACCAACCGUAGCCUUGUUAGCUGUAGUGGGAGAAUUGAAUGAAACAGUCUUGUCUUGACUUGUUGGAUUGUUGAUCGAACUAUCAUCGGUUUGUUACCGGUUAGGCGAAUUAGAUGAGUUGAGUUAGCAUGUUAACUUGUUUAGUGGUUAUGUUAAUUCAGUUAUUUGGUUAAUUGGAGAAUGUAGGAGGUUAUCUAAAUGUUUAACAGAAUAGAAAAAAAUCUUGAAUCAAAUGUUUUGGUGGAACUGCCAUCGGCUUUUAUGCCGACAUUUGGUUGAAUUCAAGUGUGGGUAUGCUCUGCAGGUUUGUUACAUGGUUUGACAUAUGCUUGAGAUGCAUUUCCACGGAGCAACGAUCACAAGUAUGAUGGCUUGUUUGGAAUGCGUCAUUGGCACUUGGAUCGCAUAGAAGAUUUAAAUUCCACAGAGCUGUUUUGGAUUUAGAUUAAAUGGUUGUAAUGAAAUAUUUUGGAUGUAUUUAUGUAUGUUAGAUGAUGAAUUGGAAUGUUGUUUUGCGAAGUUGCCGUCAUGGACUUGCUUGAAUCUUGAGAUGACUAUGUACAUAUGCUUUAGAAAUUAGUAAAAUGUGAGAAAUGGUUUUGAAUGGUUUA